UACCAGCACCCCGAGUGGUCGGGACGAUUAUUGGGCCUAAAGCAUCCGUAGCCGGUUCUGCAAGUCCCCCGUUAAAUCCAGCUGCUCAACAGAUGGGCCGCGGAGGAUACUACAGAGCUAGGAGGCAGGAGAGGCAAGCGGUACUCAGUGGGUAGGGGUAAAAUCCGUUGAUCCAUUGAAGACCACCAGUGGCGAAGGCGGCUCACUGGUCCGGUACUGACGCUGAGGUGCGAAAGCGUGGGGAGCAAACAGG
rnacentral:rRNA from 1 species